CUAGUGUGUGUUUUAUUGAAUUGGCUAUUGAUGUUUACGUUUCAACAGACUUUGUAAUCCUAUGGUGUAAUUAUAGUAAUCGCGAGUUACAUAGGAAUGGAAGUUUGCAACGGACAAGAAAUAUAAUUGCUAUUGGACGGAGUGUAAUUUUCGGAAUCGCAUUAAUAGACGUAUAAUCGAUGUAUAGGGGUACUUUCGACAAAGAUGAGACUUUGUACCCGUUUGAAGCCCUGCUACACGAUAAAAUGAUUCAUUGGAACACAGUCACAGUCUAAUGGUCG